rnacentral:rRNA from 1 species
UACGUAGGGUGCAAGCGUUGUCCGGAAUUAUUGGGCGUAAAGAGCUCGUAGGCGGUUUGUCGCGUCUGCUGUGAAAACUCGGGGCUUAACUCCGGGCCUGCAGUGGGUACGGGCAGACUAGAGUGCGGUAGGUGAGACUGGAAUUCCUGGUGUAGCGGUGAAAUGCGUAGAGAUGUGGAGGAACACCAGUGGCGAAGUCGACUUUCUGGACUGUAACUGACGCUGAGGCGCGAAAGCGUGGGGAGCGAACAGG